UUUAUGACGAAGUGAACUAUUAUAGACCCCAAAUUUAUGCAACAAUAGUUGCACAACUCUUCCGACUGUAUCUGGCUUGGUGACGCGUUCGUUGCUAAGUGAUAAAGAGAGAUUUUCAUAAAUCAUUUCAUGUAAAAAACCAACUUGCUGAUUACAUCAUGCAUUGUUCAACAGGAUAACAGUGCACUUCGCGGAAGAAAAAUGGAAGCAUGUGAACUACAACUAAGAAUUAAUUUAAACUUAUUAUAAAUAUUAAUGAACACUGCUUGUUUACAUAGGUAGAUCUUCAAGUUUUAAAACUUUACAAUGACAAAUGUGUUUAAUGGUGUUACAUCAAAUGAAAAUGCACCAAGAAAUUCCUACUUUGUCUUGUCUCACUACAAUAUCAAUGAUUUCCUGUUGAACACAAGAAGGAGGACUAGCACGGUACCAAGUGUCAAUCUCAGUUGAAGCAAUGAUGGUAGCAAUGGAAGGCUAAUGGAACAAAAUUAUUAAUCUAAAGAAUUCUACAACUGGUUGACCUCAGCCAGAAUAACCAUAACAGCUAUAAGCCAUCAACAACUUCAUCAUUUGUCAUUCACAUGAAUGUAUUAUAAAGUGUUAGCCAAUCAGAGCUCGAAAAACUGUAUCCAAUGGAAUUGCUAGAAACUCCAUGGAAACAGCCAAUGAAAUCAUCACAACAAAUGAUGUUAGUCACGUCAGUAACUUUUCACACUGCCACUCUGCCAGUGCCGGAUGAGAUGAUUAUGAUACAAGACCUGAAAGGGAGAGGAAAAGAAGUGAUACGUUUCACGUUUAGCAAAAUGCAUCAAUCAAAGUUGCUUCCUAAAUGUCAAACAUACAAAUAAUGAAAAAAGAUGGAAGGCAUCAAUGAAACAGAAUAAAAUCAAAGAGUUGAGGAAAUUCAACGAAAGGGUCAUUCAAAGUAUCAAACAGGGUAUGGAUUGCAUUGAUGAUUAUCAAUGAUGGAAUUGAUGGUUGUCGUUGAUUACAUUAUGGUUUUCUUGAAUUGUCUAUUUGUGUUAAUGUUAAUGAAGAGUGAAGACGACGCUUCAGGUGCAAUUGUUUAAAUUUUUAUUUUGAUAAUAAACAUUAACAGAGAUAUUUUUAACAUUAGCUGAGUUAAAACAAACCAAAGCAGCUUGUUAUUUUGAUUCUUGUUAAUGUUUUUACAAUUUUUAUAUCGUUUUCAUUUCUUGGCUGCAAUACGACGCAAUGCUUUUUAGCGCGAACGUUUGCCAAAAGGCUUCUACCAAAUUAUUGUGCAAUAAAAAAUUAUCAAUAUUACCAGA